rnacentral:rRNA from 1 species
AUUGAACGCUGGCGGCAGGCCUAACACAUGCAAGUCGAGCGGAUGAAGGGAGCUUGCUCCUGGAUUCAGCGGCGGACGGGUGAGUAAUGCCUAGGAAUCUGCCUGGUAGUGGGGGAUAACGUCCGGAAACGGGCGCUAAUACCGCAUACGUCCUGAGGGAGAAAGUGGGGGAUCUUCGGACCUCACGCUCUCAGAUGAGCCUAGGUCGGAUUAGCUAGUUGGUGGGGUAAAUGCCUACCAAGGCGACGAUCCGUAACUGGUCUGAGAGGAUGAUCAGUCACACUGGAACUGAGACACGGUCCAGACUCCUAAGGGAGGCAGCAGUGGGGAAUAUGGGACAAUGGGGGAAAGCAUGAUCCAGCCAGGCCGCGUGUGUGAAGAAGGUCUUCGGAUUGUAAAGAACUUUAAGUUGGGAGGAAGGGCAGUAAGUUAAUACCUUGCUGUAUUGACGUUACCAACAGAAUAAGCACCGGCUAACUUCGUG